rnacentral:rRNA from 1 species
ACGCUGGCGGCAGGCUUAACACAUGCAAGUCGAACGGUAACAGGGAUUAGCUUGCUAAUUUGCUGACGAGUGGCGGACGGGUGAGUAAUGCUUGGGAAUCUGGCUUAUGGAGGGGGAUAACUACGGGAAACUGUAGCUAAUACCGCGUAAUAUCGGAAGAUUAAAGGGUGGGACUUUCGAGCCACCUGCCAUAAGAUGAGCCCAAGUGGGGUUAGGUAGUUGGUUAGGUAAGGGCUGACCAAGCCGACGAUCUCUAGCUGGUCUGAGAGGAUGACCAGCCACACUGGAACUGAGACACGGUCCAGACUCCUACGGGAGGCAGCAGUGGGGAAUAUUGCACAAUGGGGGGAACCCUGAUGCAGCCAUGCCGCGUGAAUGAAGAAGGCCUUCGGGUUGUAAAGUUCUUUCGGUGACGAGGAAGGUUGAUAGGUUAAUAGCCUAUCAAAUUGACGUUAAUCACAGAAGAAGCACCGGCUAACUCCGUGCCAGCAGCCGCGGUAAUACGGGGGGUGCGAGCGUUAAUCGGAAUAACUGGGCGUAAAGGGCACGCAGGCGGUGACUUAAGUGAGAUGUGAAAGCCCCGAGCUUAACUUGGGAAUUGCAUUUCAUACUGGGUCGCUAGAGUACUUUAGGGAGGGGUAGAAUUCCACGUGUAGCGGUGAAAUGCGUAGAGAUGUGGAGGAAUACCGAAGGCGAAGGCAGCCCCUUGGGAAUGUACUGACGCUCAUGUGCGAAAGCGUGGGGAGCAAACAGGAUUAGAUACCCUGGUAGUCCACGCUGUAAACGAUGUCGAUUUGGGGAUUGGGCUUUGAGCUUGGUGCCCGUAGCUAACGUGAUAAAUCGACCGCCUGGGGAGUACGGCCGCAAGGUUAAAACUCAAAUGAAUUGACGGGGGCCCGCACAAGCGGUGGAGCAUGUGGUUUAAUUCGA